GAUCAUGGCUCAGAGUGAACGCUGGCGGCAGGCCUAAUACAUGCAAGUCGAACGGCAGCACAGCAGAGCUUGCUCUGUGGUGGCGAGUGGCGGACGGCGAGGAAUACGUGGGAAUCUGCCCAGUCGUGGGGGAUAACGUAGGGAAACUUACGCUAAUACCGCAUGCGCCCUUCGGGGGAAAGCCGGGGACCUUCGGGCCUGGCGCGAUUGGAUGAGCCCACGUCGGAUUAGCUAGUUGGCGGGUAAAGGCCCACCAAGGCGACGAUCCGUAGCUGGUCUGAGAGGAUGAUCAGCCACACUGGAACUGAGACACGGUCCAGACUCCUACGGGAGGCGGCAGUAGGGAAUAUUGGACAAUGGGCGCAAGCCUGAUCCAGCCAUGCCGCGUGAGUGAAGAAGGCCCUCGGGUUGUAGAGCUCUUUUGUCCGGAAAGAAAAGCGCCGGGUUGAUACCCUGGUGUCCUGACGGUACCGGAAGAAUAAGCACCGGCUAACUUCGUG
rnacentral:rRNA from 1 species